GAUGAACGCUGGCGGCGUGCCUAAUACAUGCAAGUCGAGCGAACAGAUGAGGAGCUUGCUCCUCUGACGUUAGCGGCGGACGGGUGAGUAACGCGUGGAUAACCUACCUAUAAGACUGGGAUAACUUCGGGAAACCGGAGCUAAUACCGGAUAAUAUAUUGAACCGCAUGGUUCAAUAGUGAAAGACGGUUUUGCUGUCACUUAUAGAUGGAUCCGCGCCGCAUUAGCUAGUUGGUAAGGUAACGGCUUACCAAGGCAACGAUGCGUAGCCGACCUGAAAGGGUGAUCGGCCACACUGGAACUGAGACACGGUCCAGACUCCUACGGGAGGCAGCAGUAGGGAAUCUUCCGCAAUGGGCGAAAGCCUGACGGAGCAACGCCGCGUGAGUGAUGAAGGUCUUCGGAUCGUAAAACUCUGUUAUUAGGGAAGAACAAAUGUGUAAGUAACUAUGCACGUCUUGACGGUACCUAAUCAGAAAGCCACGGCUAACUACGUG
rnacentral:rRNA from 1 species